GGAAGCGUGCCUGAAAGUUAAGGUCCUCC
rnacentral:tRNA from 1 species